rnacentral:rRNA from 1 species
UACGUAGGGUGCAAGCGUUGUCCGGAAUUAUUGGGCGUAAAGAGCUCGUAGGCGGUUUGUCGCGUCUGCUGUGAAAACCCGAGGCUCAACCUCGGGCCUGCAGUGGGUUACGGGCAGACUAGAGUUGCGGUAGGGGAGAUUGGAAUUGCCUGGUGUAGCGGUGGAAUGCGCAGAUAUCAGGAGGAACACCAAUGGCGAAGGCAGA